GGUUAUGGCUCAGUGAUAGAGUGCUCGCUUCACACGUGCGAGAUCCUGGGUUCGAUCCUCACCACCA
rnacentral:tRNA from 1 species